rnacentral:rRNA from 1 species
UCAAUAAGCGGAGGAAAAGAAACCAACAGGGAUUGCCCCAGUAACGGCGAGUGAAGCGGCAACAGCUCAAAUUUGAAAUCUGGCCCUAGGCCCGAGUUGUAAUUUGUAGAGGAUGCUUUUGGCAAGGUGCCUUCCGAGUUCCCUGGAACGGGACGCCAUAGAGGGUGAGAGCCCCGUCUGGUCGGAUACCAAGCCUCUGUAAAGCUCCUUCGACGAGUCGAGUAGUUUGGGAAUGCUGCUCAAAAUGGGAGGUAUAUGUCUUCUAAAGCUAAAUAUUGGCCAGAGACCGAUAGCGCACAAGUAGAGUGAUCGAAAGAUGAAAAGCACUUUGAAAAGAGGGUUAAAAAGUACGUGAAAUUGUUGAAAGGGAAGCGCCUAUGACCAGACUUGGGCCCGGUGAAUCAUCCAGCGUUCUCGCUGGUGCACUUUGCCGGGCACAGGCCAGCAUCAGUUCUUCGCGGGGGAAAAAGGUUUUGGGAAUGUGGCUCCCCUCGGGGAGUGUUAUAGCCCAUUGCAUAAUACCCUGCUUGGGACUGAGGUUCGCGCAUCUGCAAGGAUGCUGGCGUAAUGGUCAUCAGCGACCCGUCUUGAAACACGGACCAAGGAGUCGUCUUCGUAUGCGAGUGUUCGGGUGUAAAACCCCUACGCGUAAUGAAAGUGAACGCAGGUGAGAGCUUCGGCGCAUCAUCGACCGAUCCUGAUGUUCUCGGAUGGAUUUGAGUAAGAGCAUACGGGGCCGGACCCGAAAGAAGGUGAACUAUGCCUGUAUAGGGUGAAGCCAGAGGAAACUCUGGUGGAGGCUCGCAGCGGUUCUGACGUGCAAAUCGAUCGUCAAAUAUGGGCAUGGGGGCGAAAGACUAAUCGAACCUUCUAGUAGCUGGUUUCC